rnacentral:rRNA from 1 species
UUGACACUGAACAUUGAGCCUUGAUGUGUAGGAUAGGUGGGAGGCUUUGAAGCGUGGACGCCAGUCUGCGUGGAGCCGACCUUGAAAUACCACCCUUUAAUGUUUGAUGUUCUAACGUGGACCCGUAAUCCGGGUUGCGGACAGUGUCUGGUGGGUAGUUUGACUGGGGCGGUCUCCUCCUAAAGAGUAACGGAGGAGCACGAAGGUUGGCUAAUCCUGGUCGGACAUCAGGAGGUUAGUGCAAUGGCAUAAGCCAGCUUGACUGCGAGCGUGACGGCGCGAGCAGGUGCGAAAGCAGGUCAUAGUGAUCCGGUGGUUCUGAAUGGAAGGGCCAUCGCUCAACGGAUAAAAGGUACUCCGGGGAUAACAGGCUGAUACCGCCCAAGAGUUCAUAUCGACGGCGGUGUUUGGCACCUCGAUGUCGGCUCAUCACAUCCUGGGGCUGAAGUAGGUCCCAAGGGUAUGGCUGUUCGCCAUUUAAAGUGGUACGCGAGCUGGGUUUAGAACGUCGUGAGACAGUUCGGUCCCUAUCUGCCGUGGGCGCUGGAGAACUGAGGGGGGCUGCUCCUAGUACGAGAGGACCGGAGUGGACGCAUCACUGGUGUUCGGGUUGUCAUGCCAAUGGCACUGCCCGGUAGCUAAAUGCGGAAGAGAUAAGUGCUGAAAGCAUCUAAGCACGAAACUUGCCCCGAGAUGAGUUCUCCCUGAGACUUAGAGUCUCCUGAAGGAACGUUGAAGACGACGACGUUGAUAGGCCGGGUGUGUAAGCGCAGCGAUGCGUUGAGCUAACCGGUACUAAUGAACCGUGAGGCUUAACCUU